GGACUACUGGGGUAUCUAAUCCCGUUCGCUCCCCUGGCUUUCGCGCCUCAGCGUCAGUACGAGUCCAGGACCUUGCUUUCGCCGUCGGCGUUCCGUCCGAUCUCAACGCAUUUCACCGCUCCACCGGACGUUCCAGGUCCCCCUCCUCGCCUCCAGGUUGACCGUAUCGGAGCCCAUUCCCCGGUUGAGCCGGGGGCUUUCAACUCCGACGCGUCGACCCGCCUACGCGCCCUUUAAGCCCAAUGAUUCCGAAUAACGUUCGCACGGUUCGUCUUACCGCGGCUGCUGGCAC
rnacentral:rRNA from 1 species